rnacentral:rRNA from 1 species
AUGUGCUGUGACAUAUGUGACCAGUGGUUCCAUGGCAAAUAUGUGAACAUAACUGCCACUGAAGCAAAACAUCUCAAAGAAUUCAAGUGUGCUGACUGCAUCGGCGAAGAGAUCGGAGAGUAG